UGCCGGAUAGCUCACUCGGUAAAGCAUCGCGUUGCGAUGACGAUUACGUCGCGGGUUCGAUCCCCGCUUCGUAC